CGCUCCCUCAUCACAGGCGGGAUCCCCAGCAAGGCGGAAAACAUUCACGUUCUGCCCUGCGAACCCUGCCCUGAAAAACAUUCAGCUUUCAGAGCAAUUAUGAAGUUACACCAUUUCUGCAAGAAGGAGAACCGAAGUGGAUGCUGAAAGACAAGGGUCAGAGGCAGGACCCAGGCUGGGCUCGAGCCCGGUUUGCUCUCUGUUCUCUCCAAGCAGUUACUGAGAAACAUCCUUGUAGUAAGUUUGUAAAUAAAUCAGUGUCAACGCACCA